UCCAGAGGGGGCAAGCGUUGUUCGGAAUUACUGGGCGUAAAGGGCGCGUAGGCGGCCUGCUAAGUCGAACGUGAAAUCCCCGGGCUCAACCCGGGAACUGCGUCCGAUACUGGUGGGCUUGAAUCCGGGAGAGGGAUGUGGAAUUCCAGGUGUAGCGGUGAAAUGCGUAGAUAUCUGGAGGAACACCGGUGGCGAAGGCGGCAUCCUGGACCGGUAUUGACGCUGAGGCGCGAAAGCCAGGGGAGCAAACGGG
rnacentral:rRNA from 1 species